UAAUAUUCCUGUACUUGGUGUUACUGCGAAGGGGGGACGGAGAAGGCUAUGUUAGCCGGGCGACGGUUGUCCCGGUUUAAGCAUGUAGGCUGGUUAUCCAGGCAAAUCCGGAUAAUCAAGGCUGAGGUGUGAUGACGAGGCACUACGGUGCUGAAGUAACAAAUGCCCUGCUUCCAGGAAAAGCCUCUAAGCAUCAGGUAACAUCAAAUCGUACCCCAAACCGACACAGGUGGUCAGGUAGAGAAUACCAAGGCGCUUGAGAGAACUCGGGUGAAGGAACUAGGCAAAAUGGUGCCGUAACUUCGGGAGAAGGCACGCUGGUGUGUAGGUGAAGUCCCUGCGGAUGGAGCUGAGACCAGUCGAAGAUACCAGCUGGCUGCAACUGUUUAUUAAAAACACAGCACUGUGCAAACACGAAAGUGGACGUAUACGGUGUGACGCCUGCCCGGUGCCGGAAGGUUAAUUGAUGGGGUUAUCCGUAAGGAGAAGCUCUUGAUCGAAGCCCCGGUAAACGGCGGCCGUAACUAUAACGGUCCUAAGGUAGCGAAAUUCCUUGUCGGGUAAGUUCCGACCUGCACGAAUGGCGUAAUGAUGGCCAGGCUGUCUCCACCCGAGACUCAGUGAAAUUGAACUCGCUGUGAAGAUGCAGUGUACCCGCGGCAAGACGGAAAGACCCCGUGAACCUUUACUAUAGCUUGACACUGAACAUUGAGCCUUGAUGUGUAGGAUAGGUGGGAGGCUUUGAAGCGUGGACGCCAGUCUGCGUGGAGCCAACCUUGAAAUACCACCCUUUAAUGUUUGAUGUUCUAACGUUGGCCCCUGACCGGGGUUGCGGACAGUGUCUGGUGGGUAGUUUGACUGGGGCGGUCUCCUCCCAAAGCGUAACGGAGGAGCACGAAGGUUAGCUAAUCCUGGUCGGACAUCAGGAGGUUAGUGCAAUGGCAUAAGCUAGCUUGACUGCGAGCGUGACGGCGCGAGCAGGUGCGAAAGCAGGUCAUAGUGAUCCGGUGGUUCUGAAUGGAAGGGCCAUCGCUCAACGGAUAAAAGGUACUCCGGGGAUAACAGGCUGAUACCGCCCAAGAGUUCAUAUCGACGGCGGUGUUUGGCACCUCGAUGUCGGCUCAUCACAUCCUGGGGCUGAAGUAGGUCCCAAGGGUAUGGCUGUUCGCCAUUUAAAGUGGUACGCGAGCUGGGUUUAGAACGUCGUGAGACAGUUCGGUCCCUAUCUGCCGUGGGCGCUGGAGAAUUGAGGGGGGCUGCUCCUAGUACGAGAGGACCGGAGUGGACGCAUCACUGGUGUUCGGGUUGUCAUGCCAAUGGCACUGCCCGGUAGCUAAAUGCGGAAGAGAUAAGUGCUGAAAGCAUCUAAGCACGAAACUUGCCCCGAGAUGAGUUCUCCCUGAGACUUUAAGUCUCCUGAAGGAACGUUAAAGACGA
rnacentral:rRNA from 1 species